CACGCCGGUCGAAGAUACCAGGCCGCUGCGACUGUUUAUUAAAAACACAGCACUCUGCAAACACGAAAGUGGACGUAUAGGGUGUGACGCCUGCCCGGUGCCGGAAGGUUAAUUGAUGGGGUUAGCGCAAGCGAAGCUCUUGAUCGAAGCCCCGGUAAACGGCGGCCGUAACAAUAACGGUCCUAAGGUAGCGAAAUUCCUUGUCGGGUAAGUUCCGACCUGCAUGAAUGGCGUAACGACUUCCCCAUUGUCUCCAAUAUUACCUCAGCGAAAUUGAAUUCUCCGUGAAGAUGCGGAGUGCCCGCGGUUAGACGGAAAGACCCCGUGAACCUUUACUAUAGCUUUGCAUUGGUGUUAGGAAUUAAAUGUGUAGGAUAGGUGGGAGACUAUGAAGCAGAGGUGCUAGCUUUUGUGGAGUCAUCCUUGAGAUACCACCCUUUUAAUUUUUGACAUCUAACCACGACCUGUGAAUCCAGGUCUGAGACAGUGCAUGGUGGGUAGUUUGACUGGGGCGGUCGCCUCCCAAAGAGUAACGGAGGCGUGCGAAGGUAAGCUCAGGCUGGUCGGAAAUCAGCUGUAAGAGUGCAAUGGCAUAAGCUUGCCUGACUGCGAGAUUGACAAGUCGAGCAGAGACGAAAGUCGGUCAUAGUGAUCUGGUGGUCCCGCGUGGAAGGGCCAUCACUCAACGAAUAAAAGGUACUCCGGGGAUAACAGGCUGAUGAGCUCCAAGAGCCCAUAUCGACGAGCUCGUUUGGCACCUCGAUGUCGACUCAUCACAUCCUGGGGCUGUAGAAGGUCCCAAGGGUUCGGCUGUUCGCCGAUUAAAGUGGUACGUGAGUUGGGUUCAGAACGUCGUGAGACAGUUCGGUCCCUAUCUGCCGUGGGUGUAAGGAAAAUUGAGAAGAUCUGACUUUAGUACGAGAGGACCGAGUUGGACAUACCACUGGUGUACCAGUUGUUCCGCCAGGAGCAGCGCUGGGUAGCUAUGUAUGGAAGGGAUAACCGCUGAAUGCAUCUAAGCGGGAAACCCACUUCAAAACUAGUUUUCCCAAUUAGUGCCGUGAAAGACUAUCACGUUGAUAGGCUGGAUGUGUAAGCAGAGCAAUCUGUGUAGCUAACCAGUACUAAUAGCACGAUUGAUUUAAUGUU
rnacentral:rRNA from 1 species